GCAGUGGAGCUGUCAGUGGUCUGGAUCUGAGACUGCUGGAGGUCUACAAAGCAGCAACCAAAUCUGGAAAGAAGCAGCCACUCAAAGACAUUUUGGACUGCCUUGCAAAAGAUGACACGAAUGAAAGGAGAAGGGUUGCUGCUCUGCUUGGUUUGCCACGCUACAUAUCUGGGGAAGAUCCAUCAACUGUCAUCAAGAUGUGUGAUGCUCAUGCUGAUAUUCUGGAUGAUGCCAUGAAGGGGAUGCAGGUUGGUCUCCUGAUUGCCUGUGAAGGUAGUGAACUGGGGGCCAUCCCACACGAGGUCUUCGACGUGGCAGUUGUGGUGGAGGAGACCAUUGUGCUUCACAGCAUUAAAGAUGACACUUGGCUUUGCUAUGCUUAUGGGUGUCAUCUACUGUAUCAAUCUCAAGUAUCCAAAUGACAUGAAGUAUUCGUUUGAGUUUCUUCAGAGAGUGGUGAUGAAGACAAGACCAGACCAGGCCUCAGCUCGAGUACAUGGUUUGAGAAACAAAAUCUUGAGGUACAAACUGUAACAUCUGGUAUGAUUACAGUUUUGUUUUCUUAAAUAAGAGUUCCUGUAAGAAUUUGUUCAGUUUGUUCUAUGCACUAAAUGUUAAUACUAAUGGU